GCGUUGGCCGUCCCGCCCGCUUCGGUCAGGGCUGUUGCGCCCUCACCAGGGGUAUAAUAAGCUACCACCGCGACCCCCAUCGACGUCCGUGCACACAACGAGGUGAGAGCAAGCGAGAAGAGAGAGGGUGAGUGCCGCCAUUGCCGACCUUUGCGCUCGUCGCUUGGUCCGCCGCCGCCGUAGAUGCUUGUCUGCACUGAAGCUUGGCGACCGUGGGUGGCGGUGUGAGCUCGCGGGUGUGUGUGGGUCGCUUGCAUGCCCUCCUCCUACGAAUAUGUGCACCAGAGCCCUCCCAAUUCCUCGUCGAUGUACGGGUGCUGUCGCAGAUCCGCAUUGCGCCAUGGACAACGCGGUCGACACCGUAAUCCUCGUCACCGGUGGGGCCAACACUGCGGGGGAUGGUGGCGCCAGCAUGCCCAAUCGGCUAGGAAGGAAGAUGAUGUGUGCGCCGUCCAUCUCUUAUUGAACGGUGGAGAUUAGAGCGUUCAGUGGAUUGAUCUCGAUCGUCGGAUCUUGAUCCGAUGGCGGUCUCUACGGUGAGAGCGUAAUAUAAUCCGUGGCGUAGAACUCAGAUCCUGCGGCAGCGUAGGUGCACCAGCGCUGUUACUGUCGUUAGUGACGACGAUGGAGUGGUGAGGCUAGCCGCACACAACUACGGAUCUGUAGAUCUCCACCGACAACUUCUCGUCAUACCCAUGGCAAGCAUGAGAUAUUGACGUGGCUCAAUCAUCGGUUCCCUCACUGUCGGAGCACCUACUACACGCCUCCGCGUCAGACCCACGCCCACUCAAACGAAACCGUUUCUGCAUUCCUGUCGCGCUUUCUCGUUUGUCCGAUUAAAAAAAGUUAAACCUAACGGCUUUGAUGGUAGAAAAUAUUGAAUUUUUUAUAUUAUAGAGAUAGAUAGAUAUGAGAAGACAAGUGCACAUUAUUUGUGCUAUUUUUUGAAAAUUAAAAGCAUAAAUACAAUAUCUUCUUAUAUGAUUUUUAUUUUACCUCGAUGACAAACAUAUAGGUAUAAGAUAAAUAAAAUACUUAUUUUGUAUUUGUUGCAGAGGAAGACCAUAUAUUCACUAUUUAUGCUAUUUUUGAGAAAAUUUAAAACAUAUUUAUAAUAUCUUUUGAUAUGAUCAUGCGCGAAAAAUUCUAAAACAGAGCUAAAACAUGAAAGAUAUUAAUAUCUAAAUGAAGAGGUAGAGUUUGCAUUCAACUUGAAAAGAAGAAGGCGACCGACCCAAGACUCCCGUAACCUUGAUGAUUUCUAUACGGUAUCUAAACAUUAAAAAUAGUUUAUUUAAAAAUACAUCAUAUGUCUAUGACAUAUGCAUAUUGUCAUGUAAUAUCGUCACAAUUAUUGUGUUAAGAAGGUUAUGACGAUUUAUUCUUAUGACAAUUGCUAUAUUGUCAUAGAAAAUUAUCAAAACAUGAUGCUAGAUUAUAUUAUGACAGUUUUAAUGACAGAUGUUAAUUUUUUGUCACUACACUAAACCAUAUUGUGAAAAUCAUCAUAAACAAGGUUAUCUAAUGACAAAUUACUCUAUUGUCAUUGACUAUUUGUCAUAGACGCUCAUAAGUGUUGUAGUGUAUAAUCACACCAUGUGAAGAGCAGGCACUACUCGAGGAGGACUACUAUGAUGAGUUAAAUGAGAUUUAGGUGUCGACUCUCAUUCAACUAUGGCGUCGUGGAGAUAGUUAUCUUAGUUUGAUUUAAUUAAUUAUUAGUUAUUUUGUAAGACAUUCUCGUCAUGUAAUAAAGAUUAUGGCAUUCGUCUCUGUACACUGAGUCAUUAUAUGCGUGGA